AAUACUCAGUCUUUUAAUUUGAAGAAAUCCUAUUGUUCUCAAAAUCCUAAAACAUUUUGCAUCAUCAACAUAUGUGGCUGGCUGCAUCACUACUUAUUUCUAACUCCUUGAGGGGCCUCCCAUUUUGCAACCAUUCAAAUUUUGUAAACAUUAAGAUUACUGUAAAAAUCAGAUAUAUUCAAUUUUAGAGUGAAAAAGUGACAUGAGUUCAUAAAUGAAGUUUAGAUUGAUUUAUCCAUCCAUUGGAAUAAAAUAAGGAAUUAAUAAUUAUACUGAUUGUGGUUUAAAAAAAAUAAUUACCACAAUGUCACUUACAUGAAAGUAACUGUAUUAGAAACAAAUAUGAGUGAACAUUUACAACAUAAAAAGGAUAUAGUACCUUUGAGACUAGGGGCCCAUCCAGACAGCUGCUUAGAAACAGGAGCUCCCAUUUCUUUAAAAGGGAUGUCCAGAUGAUGCAUCAGGUGAACACAAAUGGUUUUGGGACAAAACAGGAAAAACCCUGCUUUGUCAGGAGAUAAUUUGUCAGCUGGAAAGAUGUAGGUCUUUCAAAAGAAGUAUGUCUUUCCAGUUGCAGUGGCUGUGUCAAUUGGGCCUGGAGAUCGUGUUGCACAACUUUUGGGCCUAAUCCACACAACUGUCACAGGACUUUUGGGCUGCUGGAGCCCAAGACACCCAAGACAACCUCUACCCCCUACCAAAACUUCAUUAAAAGCUUUUUAAAAAGCAAAAUAAUUCACCAGGCAUUAAUUUCCCCAUCUUCAGCCUUCGCUCCUGCCCCCCUCCCCUUUUCCAGGCACGUCAUUAGUACGACCCAGAAGAAGGCCAAAGAAGGGAAAAUGGAGGCCUGGAACUACCACAAUUCUCCCAUUCUACACUGACUGCUGGACCAUGACUGAUUUAAAAAAGAGCAACAAAAAGGAGAUGAGCUCUGAUUGAUGGUAACUAUUCAUUCAAAAAGUCUUUUUGUAAGAAAUAUCUUCUUCCGGGUCAUUCAACAGAAAUCUAUGGAGUUCCAAACAACACUCUCCAAAAGUGAUGCCUUCAAAAAUGCUGCAAAUUCUCUGCCAUCGGGUUUACUGGAGUGGCCAUGUUGCCUGAAUUUCUGAUCACCAUCUCCCAAAGCAGUUACUUUCAUCUCAAGAAUGGAAUGGAAAACAAAAUGUUGGUGGAUAACAAAAGAGAUUUAAAGAUGGGCUUAAAGCUAACCUUAAAAAAUAAACACAGAGAACUGGGAAGCCCGGGCCCUUGAGCAGUCUAACUGGAGGUCAGCUGUUACCAAUAGUGCUAUGGAUUUUAAAGAUGCAUUAACAGAGGUUGAAAGAAAGAAACAUGCCAAGAGAAAGGCAUGCCAAGCAAACUCUUGUCAUGAUCGCCUUCCAUCUAGAAAUCUAUAUCCUCAAUGUGAAAGACCAUGUGAUAGCGGAGACCCCCGCUUUUAAACUCAUCUGACCUGCGGCAGGGAGUUCCACAGAUCCAGAUCGCUAGCGAAGUGGGAAAGUGUUCUGACUGCAACAAAUUAUUAUUAAAUUCUUUUUAUUACUUUCCCCCAGCCCUGACAUUGUAACUAAUCCCUAAAUAAAAGUAUCAUUUCUUUUAACUUCUCUCAAGUAGUUAUUUUGUAUCCCUUUUCUGACUCCUCUGC